rnacentral:lncRNA from 1 species
CUUAUUCGGUGUUUUCGAAUACUCACUCUUACAAACUGAUCGAUUAAAAUUGUGGAGGGCAGUGAUGCGAGCUGCCAAGUGAAUUGUAGUAACAAAGAAUAAAUUUUCCAUUAAGUUUUUCUUCUUUCAUAAUUAUUUAUUAAUUUUAAGACAUGUUUAUUGUUAUUUUCUAGAUACAACGGUUAUGUUUAAUUUAAAUUCAUGAAUGCCGCAGUUAUUACUUUUGAAAAAAAAAUUUUAAUUUUGAUCUUUUCGCGUGUAAAAUAAUGAAAAAAUGAAUU